AAUCAACGCUGGCGGCGUGCCUAACACAUGCAAGUCGAACGAGAAAGGGGACUUCGGUCCCUGAGUACAGUGGCGCACGGGUGAGUAACACGUGACUUAUCUACCCUCGAGUGGGGAAUAACUUCGGGAAACCGAGGCUAAUACCGCAUAAUACCCACGGGUCAAAGGAGCAAUUCGCUUGAGGAGGAGGUCGCGGCCGAUUAGUUAGUUGGCGGGGUAAUGGCCCACCCAAGACAGUGAUCGGUAUCCGGCCUGAGAGGGCGCACGGACACACUGGAACUGAAACACGGUCCAGACUCCUACGGGAGGCAGCAGUGGGGAAUUUUGCGCAAUGGGGGAAACCCUGACGCAGCAACGCCGCGUGGAGGAUGAAGUCUCUUGGGACGUAAACUCCUUUCGAUCGGGACGAUUAUGACGGUACCGGAAGAAGAAGCCCCGGCUAACUUCGUG
rnacentral:rRNA from 1 species